UACGGAGGGGGCAAGCGUUAUUCGGAAUUAUUGGGCGUAAAGAGCUCGUAGGCGGUUUGUCGCGUCGAAUGUGAAAACCCGGGGCUCAACUCCGGGCCUGCAUUCGAUACGGGCAGACUAGGGUUCGGUAGGGGAGACUGGAAUUCCUGGUGUAGCGGUGAAAUGCGCAGAUAUCAGGAGGAACACCGGUGGCGAAGGCGGGUCUCUGGGCCGAUACUGACGCUGAGGAGCGAAAGCGUGGGGAGCGAACAGG
rnacentral:rRNA from 1 species